ACCAAUUCUGAAGGAUAAAAACAGUUCCUUUAGGUAUAAUGGCAUUGACGCAAUAUUGAUUUGUGGUAUAUCCUGAUCAUCUGGCCUUUUCUAUGUUAUUUGAUCCUGGAAAUGCCUCGCAUAUUU
rfam:Brassica napus, WGS project CCCW01000000 data, contig: 5029